AACGAACGCUGGCGGCAUGCCUAACACAUGCAAGUCGAACGAGACCUUCGGGUCUAGUGGCGCACGGGUGCGUAACGCGUGGGAACCUGCCCUUAGGUUCGGAAUAACUCAGAGAAAUUUGAGCUAAUACCGGAUAAUGUCUUCGGACCAAAGAUUUAUCGCCUUUGGAUGGGCCCGCGUAAGAUUAGGUAGUUGGUGGGGUAAAGGCCUACCAAGCCGACGAUCUUUAGCUGGGCUGAGAGGAUGAUCAGCCACACUGGGACGGAGACACGGCCCAGUCUCCUACGGGAGGCAGCAGUGGGGAAUAUUGGACAAUGGGCGAAAGCCUGAUCCAGCAAUGCCGCGUGAGUGAUGAAGGCCUUAGGGUUGUAAAGCUCUUUUACCAGGGAUGAUAAUGACAGUACCUGGAGAAUAAGCUCCGGCUAACUCCGUGCCAGCCGCCGCCGUAAAAC
rnacentral:rRNA from 1 species